CCUGCCUUGUCCUCCCAAAGUGCUGGAAUUACAGGCAUAAGCCACCAUGCCUGGCCUACUUAGCAAGUCCUUGACCCACAGUAGGCACUUUAUAAAUACUGUGACUUUCAAGUCUCAAUUCAAUUUCAUUAACUGCUUCUAAUAGGAUUUUCUUUUAAAACCACAGACUUGUUUUUCCUCCUCACCUCAAAGGUUGCCUUUACUGAAUUAUUAUAAAUUCUCAUUAGAGCAUUCAAUGGCCAGAUGACUGAUUUGAAAACAUUGCAUGCAAUUUAUAGACAUUCAGCUGGCACAGGUGGUGUGUUUCCCUGAAACUUGAUUCUGAGUCUGCAUUUCAUUUGCACCCAUUUUGGGGGAUGGCACUUUGAAGUCUCCUUUCCCCUUCUGGGCUGGGUUAUUCCGAGUCUCCGUUACCUUCAGACUGAGGUGGAGUAGUUUGUCGGCCUUCACGUAUUGGAGGUAGUUUACACUUUGCAACCCUUUCUCUGUCUUGGAUUGUCACAGUGACUCACCUUCAUGCUCCUGCAAAUGGAGGUGCGCGUCUCUAGGAGAUGGUGAGGUCCAGACAGCGGGAAUCCUGCGGGGCUUCCUCUCUACCUUCUCCCCUUUCUCUUCGGGAGAGGGGCCCUGAAUUGAUUCUCAAGCCCAGUCUGGAUGGUAAAAAAUGUCCAUUCAGGUAAGUGCUGCCUACAUGGACACUUGACCUCUGCUGUGGCUUAAAUUCUGCUUUCCAAAGCUCACACUGAAAUUUAAAGGCCAUUCAACAGUAUUAAGAGGAAGGGUUAAUGCUGUUAUCUCGGGAAAGAACUACUAAUAAAAGAAUACAUUCAGCUCCCACUUUUUCUCAGCCCCAUGGGCUCUCUUGCUUUUCUACUUUCCACCACAGGCUGGUGCAACAAGAAGGCCCUCACCGGAUGACUGAUCCAAGGCUAGCACUAUAGCACCAUACCCUUGGACUUCCCAGGCUCCAGAACCAUGAACCAAAUACAUUCUUAUUUAUCAAUGACCGAGUCUGUGCUUGUUCUAUAACUGCAGCACAAAAUGGACCAAGCCAGACUCUUUAGUGCUUUCUUAUUGACCUGUGUACUCUAAGACACUGGUUCCUUUAGAUGAGUGUGCUUUGAGAGUGUCCCUCACUGGCAGGGUGACCUCAUGGUGUCAGUGAUGCUUUUGCUGCUGCCCGUUUUGGUGCCGCCAUCAUAGUGGAGCCUGGGGGAGAGGCAGAGGCUCUGGAGCCAUUCUGGAUUCUGCCUCAGGCUGGUGACUGGUUAAUUUCUGUGAACUUUAACCUCCUCAUUGGUCAGGUUCCCUAGGAGUAAUACAAGGGGAAAAGGAUGCCAAUUUCCAUGGAUCGCCAUUUUCCAAGGUGCCGUGCUCGACACUUCACCAACUGUUGCUUCUCCCAAGGCCUUGAGGAAAGUAACAGUCAUACCUCCAGGUGCUGAGAAAUGUUAGCAGAACCAACCCAGCGGCCAGCGCAUGCCGUGUGUGAACGUCCCUCCGAUGUGCACAUUUCUACUCACGGUGGGCCUCUAGGUUGUCCCUGCUAUGUUUUUCUGCUUCAUCUCACUCCAAGCUUUUCCUUCCUUGUUGCAUUUUAUAAAUAAGCUCCUGCUUCUCCUUUCUGUAUAUCAGACAGAUUUAAACAAAGAAAGAAAAGAAACACACAGGUGAUGAAGCAAGUCGUGCUCACCCAGGCUAUGUGGCAGGGCUCGGGCCUGGGUUUGACCCACAUUCAAGCCAAGAGUGUCCGAUCCUGCUGCUGCGCUGUCUCCCUCUGUCGAGUCGAAGACCGUUUACAAUACCUGAGGAGGCCAGAGGCUUUUCCUCACUCGGGGCACUCACUUCUCAGGGUCACGUCUCAGCAGCCUCCUCAAUAGCAGACCCCAUGGGAUGCACUUAUCCCAUGGCCUUGUACCCACCAUUCUUCCGUCUGAAGGUCCUGGGUGUGAGUGACUGGUUGGCAGCUGGUGGGUGGGGUUUCCAAGUGGGUGACAGCGCUCUCUGGCAGCCAGGAACACCGUGUCCACACUGACCAGGCCUGUGGAGAGUGCUCAGCCUAACCUUAGAACACAUUUGUAACUGAACGCACUGUUUUCACUUUGUAUGGAAUAGUUAAAAUAUUCUAUGAAAGUUGUGAAACGUGAACCAAAAGAAAAAACCUGGUGAGGUUAUGAAGGCUCAACUGCACCAAAAUCCUGGCCUUGAAACCAAAAUCCUGGCACUGACUCUCUUAGCAAUGUUACGGGGGCUCUGCAAAGCCGAGAAGCCGAGUCCCAUAAGAAGAUAAAAGGUUGCGCCUGGAUGGCUUGUGUGUGGCAGACGGGGAGGUUCCUCCUAGUCACGCCUGAACCUUCGGUCUGAACUGGAGCUCCACGGAGUGACGCUGCCCUGGAAUGCGGCAAACAUCCGCCUCCCUCCUGUGGCCGGUGCAUCCUCCAGCGUGUCCUCUGCUGGAAACGCACGUUAUCUCUAGAGCUGGCAGGUGCAGGACGCUGAGGGCUGAGUGUCUCCGGGAGCACGUCAGAUGUGAGAAUGAAAAGAGAGUCAGAGAUUGCCCUAGCCCUGCCUGGCGUGGAAAAUGUGGAGCAAAAUACAUCAGUGACUCCUGCCAGGCCUGUGGGAGAGUCAUGCCAGGCGUUUGCCAUGUUUGGUAACAACCAAGGAAGAGCGGCUGUGACAAAGUCAACACUUCUCCCUCGGGUCCCUGCCCAUCCCUUUCUGGAGUCAGUGACUAACAUUUCAGGGAGCACUGAGGUUGCCAGCUGAUCUCCCUUUACAUGGGGCCAUUCCCUUUUUGAAUGAGCUUAAAGCCAGGUACUUCACGCACUGCCA